AUCCUUUAUCAUUCAUCAUUUGCAAAAAUUUUAAAGUACUCUAUCUUUCAUCAUCCAUUCACCUGCAUGGAUCUUAAAGGACAAAUUCAUCCACUAAUAAAGACCUCAAAGUACUACUUUCUUUUUUUUUAAUUUAUUUUAAAAUUUUGGAUCUAAUUGAUAUUUUUAAACUUAAAUGAUUUAAAUUUAGAAGGGUGUCUCUAUAAAUUUUUUUUAAAAAAAAUUAAAUUUUAUUUUCUUGAGAUUAGUUUGGCC
rnacentral:lncRNA from 1 species